UGUUGCGCUAAAUGGCUGAAUCA
rnacentral:piRNA from 1 species